CCCGUACCGCAAACCGACACAGGUAGUCAAGAUGAGAAUUCUAAGGUGAGCGAGCGAACUCUCGUUAAGGAACUCGGCAAAAUGACCCCGUAACUUCGGGAGAAGGGGUGCUCUUUAGGGUUAACGCCCAGAAGAGCCGCAGUGAAUAGGCCCAAGCGACUGUUUAUCAAAAACACAGGUCUCUGCUAAACCGUAAGGUGAUGUAUAGGGGCUGACGCCUGCCCGGUGCUGGAAGGUUAAGAGGAGUGGUUAGCUUCUGCGAAGCUACGAAUCGAAGCCCCAGUAAACGGCGGCCGUAACUAUAACGGUCCUAAGGUAGCGAAAUUCCUUGUCGGGUAAGUUCCGACCCGCACGAAAGGCGUAACGAUUUGGGCACUGUCUCAACGAGAGACUCGGUGAAAUCAUAGUACCUGUGAAGAUGCAGGUUACCCGCGACAGGACGGAAAGACCCCGUGGAGCUUUACUGUAGCCUGAUAUUGAAAUUCGGCACAGCUUGUACAGGAUAGGUAGGAGCCUUUGAAACGUGAGCGCUAGCUUACGUGGAGGCGCUGGUGGGAUACUACCCUAGCUGUGUUGGCUUUCUAACCCGCACCACUUAUCGUGGUGGGAGACAGUGUCAGGCGGGCAGUUUGACUGGGGCGGUCGCCUCCUAAAAGGUAACGGAGGCGCUCAAAGGUUCCCUCAGAAUGGUUGGAAAUCAUUCAUAGAGUGUAAAGGCAUAAGGGAGCUUGACUGCGAGACCUACAAGUCGAGCAGGGUCGAAAGACGGACUUAGUGAUCCGGUGGUUCCGCAUGGAAGGGCCAUCGCUCAACGGAUAAAAGCUACCCCGGGGAUAACAGGCUUAUCUCCCCCAAGAGUUCACAUCGACGGGGAGGUUUGGCACCUCGAUGUCGGCUCAUCGCAUCCUGGGGCUGUAGUCGGUCCCAAGGGUUGGGCUGUUCGCCCAUUAAAGCGGUACGCGAGCUGGGUUCAGAACGUCGUGAGACAGUUCGGUCCCUAUCCGUCGUGGGCGUAGGAAAUUUGAGAGGAGCUGUCCUUAGUACGAGAGGACCGGGAUGGACAUACCUCUGGUGUACCAGUUGUCGUGCCAACGGCAUAGCUGGGUAGCUAUGUGUGGACGGGAUAAGUGCUGAAAGCAUCUAAGCAUGAAGCCCCCCUCAAGAUGAGAUUUCCCAACUUCGGUUAUAAGAUCCCUCAAAGAUGAUGAGGUUAAUAGGUUCGAGGUGGAAGCAUGGUGACAU
rnacentral:rRNA from 1 species